UGAGCCAUCCGGAACAAAUUCAGCA
rnacentral:piRNA from 3 species